AUUGAACGCUGGCGGCAGGCCUAACACAUGCAAGUCGAACGAGUGGCGGACGGGUGAGUAAUGUCUGGGAAACUGCCUGAUGGAGGGGGAUAACUACUGGAAACGGUAGCUAAUACCGCAUACCAUCGGAUGUGCCCAGAUGGGAUUAGCUAGUAGGUGGGGUAACGGCUCACAUAGGCGACGAUCCCUAGCUGGUCUGAGAGGAUGACCAGCCACACUGGAACUGAGACACGGUCCAGACUCCUACGGGAGGCAGCAGUGGGUAAUAUUGCACAAGGGGCGCAAGCCUGAUGCAGCCAUGCCGCGUGUAUGAAGAAGGCCUUCGGGUUGUAAAGUACUUUCAGCGAGGAGGCGUUACUCGCAGAAGAAGCACCGGCUAACUCCGUGCCAGCAGCCGCGGUAAUAC
rnacentral:rRNA from 1 species